UGGGGAAUAUUGCACAAUGGGGGAAACCCUGAUGCAGCGACGCCGCGUGAGUGAAGAAGUAUUUCGGUAUGUAAAGCUCUAUCAGCAGGGAAGAUAAUGACAGUACCUGACUAAGAAGCCCCGGCUAACUACGUGCCAGCAGCCGCGGUAAUACGUAGGGGGCAAGCGUUAUCCGGAUUUACUGGGUGUAAAGGGAGCGUAGACGGAAUGGCAAGUCUGAAGUGAAAUACCCGGGCUCAACCUGGGAACUGCUUUGGAAACUGUUGUUCUAGAGUGUUGGAGAGGUAAGUGGAAUUCCUGGUGUAGCGGUGAAAUGCGUAGAUAUCAGGAAGAACACCGGAGGCGAAGGCGGCUUACUGGACAAUAACUGACGUUGAGGCUCGAAAGCGUGUGGAUCAAACAGGAUUAGAUACCCUGGUA
rnacentral:rRNA from 1 species